AUGUUAAGAAAAAUCUUGCAGCAGCUGGACGAUUUGCGUAGAAAUGUUUUCCUCGUCAUAUAUUGAUUAAUGUAUCGAUGAACUUUUAUUUAUAACUAUAACAAAAGCAACACAUUCAUACUGAAGUCAGUGAUUAUCAGUGUAUUUUACAUCAGAGAACAAUUAAGCAGGUAGGGUACAAACAACAAUGAAGUUAUUGUUAAUUUUCUCUGUGUCUAUCAUGCAAAUUAGAAGCAUGAAAACAUUAGCAUUAGGACAUUAAAAGUUUCUACCGUUGGAAGAUCUGUUUGUUAAUGUUCUUUAACACUGAGUUUUCCUGCCAUUCCCAAGUAUAUUUUUAUCACCUGUUAGUUUUGACAGAGAAUGCAUCUUCCAGUUAAGGCAUUUUACUUAUUUCAUGAUUCUAACAGAUAGUAACUGAUUCAGUAUUAAACAAGUUUUUUUUUUUCUUUUACAGAAGUCUAGGAUUCCAUCCCACAAGGGUUAGCAAGAAUUUACAAGGUCACAACUGAUUAUUACAUGAGUCUCAGGUUCCACAUUUUUAUCCAGUAAGCUUUGUGUCGCCUUUAGGAUUAUGAUCUGGUGGAAAGAUAACCCACAAGGCAUGGAGGUAGUCUGUGCAGCCAUCUAACGUUACAAUGAUAGCACCAAGCUAUGAAAACCAUCCUGCUUAGUGAGAGUUCAUCUUUGUCAGCCUUUAGACUUGUAUACUCAUCAGCUCCAGGCAUCCUGCUCAUAAAUGCCUUGAAUUCUCAGUCCUAAACUAACAUGUGAGAUAAAAACAGUUGCAUAUGAGAAGUCAUGGGACUCAGGGUCAGAUAUACACAGAAAGCUGCAAAAGUGCUAUACUAUCUAAGAUUGAUAAUUUUCACGAUGGCUUUCAUUUUUUAAAUUCAAAUGCUCGAUAUAUUUUUAAAAACUAGAAAUACUGACAACUCUAAGAAAUAAAAAUUGUCUUUGCUUCUAGUUGGUACAGAUUGUUGGGUACAUAAAAAUGAAGACAAGUAACUGAUGUUAAUUUUCAUAAUGAGGUGGUUGUGACUAUUUUACCGUCAACAAAAUGAAUGAAAUUUAAUAUGGCAAUUUAUAAUCCAGACUCCCUGAGUAUAAAAAUAAAAGAACAUGCAUAACUCCAUGUAUGAGAAGGUUUACCAAAUAAUAUCCAAGCUUCAUGUAGUCUCGGAUUAAAGAAUAUCUUUGGAUUAUUUCCUUCUAGUUUAAUGAAUUCCUAGUCUUUUGUUCAUGUAAUUAUGAACAUGACUAUAAAAAUUAUGUAAGUAUAAUUUCUGGAACCUCAACCCAAAUAUAUUUGUUCAAUGCAAAGUAUGCUAUAUUAUACCCUAUUUAAGAACAACAACAACAACAAAAAAAAGGCUUUGACGAGUAAGUAUUAAACAGAGCAUCCCCAAUCAUACUCAGUUUUAUUGAUUAGCCAUACUCCUCAUCUCCUCCAUGUUGUGGUAUUUAAAAUCUCUUUAGUCUUAAGUGACUUUACAUGGUAUCUAUGGUGUAUAUGAUCUCUUCCUUAAUAUUCCAUGAGGUUAAGAAAGAAGUCUAGAAACUAAUUGUAAAUGUAGAUUCUCAUUUUUUAAAAAAGUAAAGUUUAAGGAGAUCAAGGACAGAGGGAGACAACUGAAGCAUAACACAUUAAAUUUGUCAUUAGCUAUAUAGUGUUGACAUAAACAAUAAAGUAUGAAUAUGUCUAUGUCCGUCAUAAGAUAACCUGCCAGUAUUUUCUUGUCAUUAUUUUGUUGUUAUCAAUACCUUGUUAUAAGUAGAUAAGAUUUUUUAUCUACUUAUAUAUACUAUAUUCAGUCCAUCUGAUUUUAACAAAAGUAUUGUCUGUACAUUAAAUCAGUAGGUAGUUCCUGAAAUAAGUAUCUAACUUGGUAAGUAAUGCAGAUAGGAUCAAACUGUUACUUGAGCAUUUUCUACUCUUUUAAACAGUUUGAUUGCUACAAAUCAAAGAGAUAGAGCCAUUUGAUUUAAGGGAUGUUUGCUGGCCUUCCUGCUCAUCUUACUGAUGAAAUGUAGCAAAGAAUGGAAAAAAAUGAAAAGAACGUAAAACGUGAUGAGUGAAGAAAAUAUCUAUUAAAAAUUGAGAAAAAAAAAAGCAAACUUUACAUGCCCCAGUACAGGGGAGCGCCAGGGCCAAGAAGUGGGAGUGGGUGGGUAGGGGAGAAGGGCUGGGGCAGGGUAUAGGGGACUUUCAGGAUAACAUUUGAAAUGUAAAUGAAGAAAACAUCUAAUAAAAAAUUGAAAAAGAAAAACGUGAUGAGCUCACAUUUUUGACUGAGGCUUGCUGUAGGUUAAUAGUGAGUAAAAGGGGUUGUGGUUCUAAGAAAAGGAAGACCUGAAAGAGCAAGGAAGCAACUAUGGCACAGCGCACACAUAGUAGACCACCCAAAGAAGGAUCACCUAGUUAGAAUCUACAAUGCUCUUAUUUGAUCUGGCUUUUAUUAAUUUACUUCCCAUUAUUAGUUUCUUUUUUUUAGUUUUUUCCAUUUUUAUUAGACAUUUUCUUCAUUUACAUUAUUAGUUUCUAAUAGAAAAUACAAUAAAUUAUUUGGGAAAUUUGAAAUAUGGUAAGUGUAUUUGCUACUACCAAGCUUUUCAGGUUAAAACUGUAAUGAUAAGAAUUAAUUACUAAAAUAAAGACUACUUAGAGCUCCCCUUAGAAUAAUAUCAGCAGGAAAGCUCUCUGCAGCAUUUCAGGUAGUCUACAAUUAUGGCAUUUCAUUAUAUGCCAUUGAUCUUGCACAUUUUAACUUUGACUUAAAAGGAAAACUUGUCAGGCAAUUAACCUACAUAUAAAGAUUUGUAUAAUAGGGAGCGCCUUUUGAAUUGCUAAUCAGUAUCUCUUUUUCUCCCCAGCAGUGCUGUGAGGGAUGCUCUUUCUUCAUGUGAACUCUAUCUUACAUACUGUAUUAGCAUCUAAUCUUUCAACUGUCACUUGGGUUUUCCAUAACAGCUCUCCCCACUCUAUUGCUUUAGUCUAUCAGAAGAAAACAGCUGAACUACCAAAGCCUGCUUGAAUAGGCUGCCAUAUUAAUGCAUUUUUCAUCAUAUCCAGAGUACCAAAAUUAGAUAUUAUUAUUUUAGAAAUCAAUAUAGUAUAUUCAGAAACACCUGUCAUUAGCCAAGGAAUUUAGGGAUUAAAUAAAUGAGACUCUUUUCAAAGUCAAUGGUCAUGUAUCUAAGAUAAAAAUGUUAAGAAGAAAGAGAGACUUGAUAAGAAUCAAGUACCUAAUUUUAAUCAUGUGAUCUAUAAUAUUAAUAUUACAUCUAUCUUUGUUCAAAAUUUUAAAAAUUUCAGAAAAAAAAUUGUUUAAGUGAGGGGUUGGAGAGAUGGCUCAGUGGUUAAGAGCAUUGACUGCUCUUCCAAAGGUCCUGAGUUCAAUUUCCAGAAACCAAAUGGUGGCUCACAACCAUCUGUAAUGGGAUCUGAUGCCCUCUUCUUGUGUGUGUGAAGACAGUGACCAUGUACCCAUAUACAUUAGAUAGAUAGAUAGAUAGAUAGAUAGAUAGAUAGAUAGAUAGAUAGAUAGAUCUUAAAAAUUUUGUUUAAGUGAAUUGUAUAUUAUAAACCAGUCCAACAUAUUUAGCUCAGCAUUUAAGGUUCUGAAUGUUUGGUGGUAUCCAAUAUGUGACAACUUACAUUUCAAUACCUUCAUGCAUAUAUCUUUUCUCUUAACCAAAUGAGUAUACAGUCUUCCCUUCAUAUAUUUCUAAUUCCCUUCCAUAUCAUCUUUCUAAGUUUCUUAAAUUCUAAAUUGUGCAUAAGUUUGAUUAAUAUUGAAAUUUCAGUUUUUUAAAUGUAUUUUUUGGUACCUAUUAUGGAAGUUUCAAUAUAAUACUCUGUUUCUCCAGUGUUCAGGAUGAAGAAGAGGGUGGUAGCUCCCUGACUAUAUCAUCCAAAUGUAAGAUCUGCUUGAUGACCAUUCUGUCAAUCUAAAAGCCUGAGGAGAAAUGCAAUCCUUUGUUGUGAGGUGAUAAGAAUUACAUAGACUAGUGAUUGCAGAAAUGAAGAUUAAAGACAUUUAAGCAAAUGUAAGAUAUCGAUAAAGUUUAAAAAUGAUUGUAAAUCAAAGACUCACUAUGGCUAUGAAGAAGGGGAACUAGUAAAAUCAAACGAAGAGCCACUUCUAUUUGGACAUAGUAAAUCUGAGAAGUAAAAGAUAAUAUUUGACAAAUGCACUCAGCGUAUAUAUUGAUAAUGCUUACAUAUAUAUUCAUUUAUAUUAAUAUAAAGUAUCAUUAUCCUAUCACAUGUUCUCUACUGUGGAGACAAAUUAAUAAUUUUUAAGAAUGGUUUGGGUCUUGGGGAUUUGGAUGUUUUGACAUUUGUUGUGUGUGUGUCUGUGUGUGUCUCUCUCUCUCUCUGGGGCAUCUGUGUAUGUGUGUGUGUGUGUGCAUCUCUCUCUCUCUCUCUCUCUCCCCCUCUGUGUGUGUGGGGGGGCAUCUCUCUGUCUCUCUUUCUCUCUGUGUGUGUGUGUCUGUGUGGUGGCAUAUCUCUCUCUGUCUCUGUGUGUGUGUGUGUGUGUCUAUGUGUCUAUGUGUGUGUAUGUAUGUAUGUAUGUAUCUCUCUCUCUGUGGGGGGCAUCUCUGUCUCUGUCUCUUUCUCUCUCUGUCUCUCUGUCUCUGUCUUUCUCUCUCUCUCUCUCUCCCUCUCUCUCUCUCUCUCUCUCUCUCUCUCUGUGUGUGUGUGUGUGUGUGUGUGUGUGUGUGUGUUUAUACUUCCACUCUGUUGGUUCUGGAGAAUGGCUUCAGGUUGUCAAGUUUAGUGGUAGGCUCUGCUACUACUGAGCAUCUCACAAGCCCUAAGGAUAGGUUUAACUGUGCAAUUUUGUCUUAAACCCUGUCAUUGCACACUGAUAAUAAUCUAAGUGCAGAAUUCUCAAGCAUGCUUUGGAUGAGGUACGAUUCUAGGACGGACAGUCUAAGAGAAUACUAAUUAGGCAGUAGGAGCUGAGCACAUUCUGAAUAUGUCCUCAUAGUAAAGAACAAAAUCUGUAAACAAGAAUUAUACUAUUGAGAAAAGAUAUUUGUAUUCCUAUAAGUUGCCUUUGAGAGAUAAGAAAUUUACUAACAGGAUUAUUUAGAAAUCAAGAGCUUCCAAUCAUAAAACCUAGGACUUGCUGGGCAUCUGUCCUUGUCUAUGUAAACUUUGCAACAAUUUAGUUGUCAUCAAUUAUCUAUCUGCAGUAAACUGGAGGGAGGUUUUGACGAAUGUAGACUUGGCUAAUAGGACCUAAGACAGAUAAUUUAUCUCAGUUCUACAUAUCUAAUAAUUUCUGGGCAGAAUUAACACACUCUUGCUCCAUUUUUAUUUUUGUUAGAAAUAUUCACAACACUAUCAGAAGAGUAAGAGGAUCUGAGAACGUUAGAUUUUACCCCUUCAUAAAAAGGAGCUAUAACAUCCUGCACAGAAUAGAAUAUGGGCAUCAUUCUGUGCCAUUGGAAUCGAUGCACACCAGAUUCUUACCGAACAUGUUACAUGAAUGUUUUUCUGCUCAAUCAUUUGAGGGCUCUUUCAACUGAAUAAAAUUGCUUCUGAAAUGUUAGCCUAAUAUUAGCUAAAUAUGGCCAAAUGAAUCCUCAGAAGCCUUGAUGGAGAUUAUUCCACAAUUCCAGGAGACUAACAGACAGUCCAUUACAAGGACACUUGAGUUCAUGGUAAGAUAUUUGAAUGAGGGCUACAUGGCAGCUGUAAAGUUAAUGGGAUAGACUAUUUUCUCCCCUCUUACACAUUUGAAAAUCAUAGAAAAACAAAUGGAAAAAAAAGAUCAGAGUACAUAGGGGUUUUAAUGAAAUAAGCUCAAGAAGAAUAUGAUCUUAGAAAGCAAAUAUGGCAUUACUUUUUCUGAGUUGAAUGAAAGGGAGAAUGAGAAGUAGCUCUGUGGUAGAGAAUCCUGGGAGGGAUAGGGGGCGCUGUUUGCUUUCUGUGAAAAAAGAAGACAGGUCACAUGACAAAUGAAGCAACAUAAUGAGAUGCAAAAGUGCAAAUUAUUGGGAAAUUUAGACUAAUUUUGCCAAGAAAUGUAUGAGAAAAAUUGGAACCAGGAAGCAUUUGAUGUUCAUAAUGAUUUGCAUUGAAAGAGAUGGACAGAUAUUUUUGAAUAAAUGAGUAAUUACAUAAUUGUAUAAGGUAGUGUUCUUCAAGGGGUAGGUAGCAUGUAUCAGCAUGAACCUGAAGUCUUGAUAAACAGAUACCAAGUUAUUAGAUCUGUCUAUGAGCACCUUUUCUCAGUAAGUUUGUAAUGUGUUUCAGGAUUUUUUUUUUUUUACUUCUAAAUAUAAGUAGAUGAUGCUGAGCCUGUUGUAGGUUUUGCUUGCUUUUAUUUUUUUCUUAAUAUUUUGGUCUUAGGUAAUAAUUUUAAAAGCACAUUAAAAUAUAUAGGUAAGAAGUAUUUAUUUGAAUUAUAGUGUUCAAUUAUUAAUAAAUUGAACCCAAAAGAGCAUUAUUUUAUAGUACUACCUUAAGAGAAACAAUAUUAUCACCAGUAUGUAUUUUAUAUUGUUGAAAAAAAAAACAGCAUCAAACUUUCUAGAUCCGGGUGUGAGUGGCAAUUAGAUUUGAAGGUGAAUUCAUGGUAUUUGAAGGGUUUAGGAGACUCUUAGUUGUAAAGUACUUAAUAUGCAAAUAUAAAGACCAUGUGUGAUCCUCAUAAUCCAGAUCUCCCAUUCCCCUAAAAAUUGCCAGUGGCACACUAUUCUUACAUCAGUACUCUGGGAGUAAAGACUAGAAGAUCCCUGGAGCUCACUGGUCACCCUAAAGUAGCCAACUCUACAAGCAUAAUGACUGUGCAAGACUCUGUCUCAAAACAGAUACACACAGCCUGGCAAAUGACAUUUAAGGUUGUUCUAUGGCCUCACAUUUACACUUAAAUACACAAAGUAUUCUAAUUGAAACACCCUUCCAAGUAUGAUUCUAGACAUCAAAAAUACUUGAUUCCUUUCAUUCUUUCUCUGCAAGGACAAUGCCUACUAGCAAUACUUGUGUCAUGGACAAAAUAGGAAUAGAAUAAGUACAACCAAACUCAGAAUCACCUUAAAUCCCAGGCUUCUAUCUACUCUUCUAACACUCCACUGUAUAAAAAGUAAACCAUGUGACCAAGUCCAGAGUUCCUUCCCACCAUGAAGCCAUGUCAGGAAUGUGAGUCCCUUAUUCUAUAGAGUAGUUUGGGGGGAAAUGAUAACUGAAGAAACGACUACUAGUUAAUAUAUUGCCAUGAAAGACAUUUUCACAGCUGCCUUUGUCUGUGAUGGGUUGACUUAGAUAACUUAUAAGAUCUUGCUAGCUUUAUCCUAUGGCUAUGACUAUGCCAUUUUGAUGGAAGCUGAGUUGUUUGUGAAGCACAUAGAUCUAUAAUUCAUUCUUCUAGAUGAUCUGUAAAUGGUUUACUCGUGUGUGUGUGUGUGUGUGUGUGUGUGUGUGUGUGUGUGUGUGUGUGUGAUGAGAUCCCAAAGAGAUCAUGAUAUGGAAGAAAGAAAGAAAUCUUCAGGGUGAGGAGUAAAGUGUCAUGGACUCUAUGUGACAUGAAAGAAAAGGAAGAGUCAAUCUAGGAGAGGGAGGAGAGCCAGUCAGAGGAGAAAAGGGAAUUUAUGGAACAGAUGGAGAAGAGGAGGUAAGCAACUGAGAAAUAUGUUUAAUAAUAAAAGAAUGUGAAAGGGCCAUAAUUAAACCAAUCGCUAUAUAUACUAGCUUAAGGUUAUAUUAUUAUUAUCAUUAUCAUUAUCAUCAUUAUUACUUAAAAGUGUGAAUCCAGCUUGUAUUAUCCACAGAAGAUCAAUAUGCAAGAUGGAGAGUGUUGCCAGUUACACUUACUAUUAAAUAAUGUUUUCAAACUUAUUGAGAAUCAUUUGUAACCAACUGAUCUCCAUCCACUGUUAGAGACUGGAGAAGUGUCACUAAAGUCAUUUUGCAGAUGGAGAAAAUGAUCUCCACAGUCAAGUUAAUGCAGGAAUGUCAGGGAAUAACUAGAUGCCGGGCUACUCCUUGAAAUGUAGUGUUUUUCUUUACAUAUUAUACCAGAGCAUCGUACUGCCAGAUAUGAAGAAGACAAGCCUGUUACAAGCAAUUAUUACAUCAGAACCUUGACUUUUAUACUAAGUAUAUAAAUUAUAAAGCUGUGAUAAUAUAAAAUUUGGCAUAUGUCAUUCAAAAGUAGGGAAAGUCAUCUCUUCCAGGGGAACUUUUGACUAGCAAAAGAGAAACUCAGUUCUACAGAGAAGGGAGAGAAAGACUUAAAUGUGAAACUGACUAAGCAGUGCUUUUGAGUAAAAUUUGAAAUGAAGAUAGAAAUAAAUUAUCUAAUACCAGUAGUUACAGAUUUACUGACCCCAUUGCAUGAACUUUAUAAUGUCGGAGGAAUGCUAUAUACAAUGUGUCACUAGGAAGUCAAGAGUACUGUGAGCAAUGCCCACAGGAAAGCACACACACACACAAACACACACACACAUGCACGCAAGCACGCAGGCACGCACGAACACACACAGGUUGCAGAAUAGAGAAACAGUGAAACAAAGAGGGAUAGAGAAAGAGACAGACAGAGGCACUAAGGCAAUAAGGCCUGAUAGUUAAAAGCUGAAUGGUUUUUAUAAUUAUUUUUUAUUUAAAAAUUUUCAUACACUAUAUUUUAGUCAUCUUUUCCCCUACCCCAACUACAUCGAGACCUUCCUUACUUCUCUACACAUUCAACUUCAUCUUUUCUUUCUCUCUCAAAACAAAAACAAAAAACCAGACCCCACAAAAACAAAAAUCAAAACACAACAGUCAAAAGAGGAAUAUGAUCAAAACAAAGCCAAUAUCAAAUGAAACAAAAGGUAUGCAUAUGUAUGCACACAAACAAGGCAAAACCAUGAAGUUCAUUUUCUGUUGACCAAUGACUUGUGAGCAUGAGUCCUGCCCUGGAAUGUGGUUAAGACACUUAAUGAAACUCUUUAGGAAGAAACUAAAGUCAUUCCUUGCCAGAUGGUAUCAAUUACAAAUAACUUCUUGGUUCAGGGUGGGACCCGUAUCAACUUCUGCCUCUCAGUGCUGACUUUAAUGUGUACAGAUUUUAAGCAUUCUGCCACAGUCUCUGUGAGUUAAUAUAUAUGUCAAUACUGAAGAGUUAAGGAAAUUCCUGCUUAAGAGCUAAAGCAGUCAUCUUGUAUUCUCUCUCUCUCUCUCUCUCUCUCUCUCUCUCUCUCUCUCUCUCUCUCUCUGUGUGUGUGUGUGUGUGUGUGUGUAUGUGUGUGUGCAGAAAGAGAGAUGUUUAAUAUGAGCCCUAAAUAGGAUGGAGCCGUCAUUCACUUUAUCUAUAGGAGAGAGAUUGAGGCGAUAACUUGAAGUAUAUUGAUAUAUAACUCUGGGUCUGGGGGAAGGUGGCUACUUGGAAGUGUUGAAAUGUAUGAGCCAAAUGGAAGAUCAGCUUUCUCCUUCUAGCCUUCCAGUUAAUCAGCAUCUUACCUUGUCAUGUAAACUCUGCUAACCUGCUUCAUUACAAUGUCUAUGUCCUCUGUUUCCAUAUUAAAAUUUGGAUUAUCAAAUGUUAAAUAUUUAAACUAUGAUUCAAGUUCAUCUUCUCUAAUAUGCUAGUGAGAACAUAUCAUGCGACAUAAAGUCCAGAGGAGAAUAAAGGUAUCUGUAACACACCCCCAGCCGAGGGCUAACCAGAAAGGUAAAGCGUAUCCCCCAGAUGGAUCUUGGUUGAUCCUAUUAACCAUUUUUCUUCAUUAGUAGUAACUACAAAGACUGUGGUGAUAUAUACGGCAGCAGGUCAGUGAAGACAAUGAAUAUAAAUAUUAGACAACUAUAGUUAAUGAAAUAAUUAGAAAAAUCAUAGGUGGUGAUAUCUUAAGAAAAACGACAAUUUUAGUCUUGUAUUGACGUUCUCCUCGUUUCUGUUCAUUACUCAAUUUGAUCCCUCAAGACUCCUAAAACUCAUUUUUAUAUUUGAAUAACUGUGUAAGUUGGAAUAUUAGUUAAAUACCCUUGCUGUUUCCCCAAAGUUAUUUGGCAGGAUUUGAUUAUUUGUGCAAUGUUAUAUUCUGUCGAGAAAUUUUUGGAGAAAAGCUGUUAAGUUUUUAAUUUUUGCCAGAACACUUUAGGUGUCAGAAUAAUGAACUUUUAAAUACUCUGGCAACAGAUUAAAUAGCAUCUUGACAUUUACUUGAAAGAGUUGUGUAGUUUCUUCUAUUUGAUCAAAUUACUGCUGUCACCACAUAAAGAUGAAAAGAGACCUUUUUUUAAAUGACCACAAAUACAAUAAGUAUAAAGUAGUUUCUGUCAGUUGAUAGCCAUGUGUUUCUUGAAUAGGUGAUUUCUCAAUUAUUUUACAUAUUUAGAGCUUCACGGCAUUUUUUCCAAACUAUAAAUUAUAUACUUUUAUUUCUCUCAAAGAACUCUGCUGAGGCUCUUAUGUGCUUUUGCUAUAUUAUAAAUUAAUAUUGACAUUUAGUAAUGAUUAACUUGUGGUUUUGUCUCCUCCUCUUACUUCCUUAUAAAGGAGAUUCGUGACUCUUUUCUGUUGUGUUUGUCUGUUUGCUUGUUUCUUGGUUUUCAUUGGUUCUCCUAGAACUCUCUUUAUCGGCCAGUUUGGCCUCAAACUCAGACUUACCUGCCUCUGCCUCCUGAGUGCUGGGUUUAAAGAUGUGCACCACCACUGUUUGGUUCAUUCGUUGUUUUCUAUCCAGUGUUCUCCUAUACAUUUUUAUUUUAACAUGAAUCAGAUUGGCCUGUUUUAAUUCUGCAAGUAUGACAUGAGUAAAAAUCUAUAAAAGAAAGAUUCAAGGGACAAAUACCUUCCAAGGCAAGUAUAAUAAAUAACUUAUCACAAUAAAAACCUCUGUUUGGAUAUUGAUUACAUAGGUAGUGUUUAAUAAGAUGGAGAGCUUUGGAGAAUAAGGCAUAUCUGGGUUUCUCAUUUUUCAAUGCAUUGAUACUUCGAAAUUGCAUGUUUUACUUACUUAAAGAAUUAUUAAAAAACUCCUUGAAUAAUUAUUGACACUUUAUUUAAAAAGCAGAAGAGAAUCCAGAUGUUAUGGCUUGCUUUUUGUAAAGUUAGUUAUUGUAUUUGUUUGUAGGUCUCUAGAAAAUAGUUCUUUUAUUUUUUUUUAAUCUUUUUUUUUGGAUAUUUUCUUUAUUUACAUUUCAAUAUGUCCCCUUUCCCGGCACUCCAUCCCCCCCUGGAAACCUGCAUCCCAUUCCCCCUCCCCCAGUUUCUAUGAGGGUGUUCCCCCACCCACCCAUUCCUGCCUCCCUGCCCUUGAAUUCUCCUAAACUGGGGUAUCAAGCCUUCACAGGACCAAGGACUUCUCCUCCCAUUGAUGCCCAAGAAGGUGAUUCUCUGCAAUAUAUGCAUCUGGAGCCAUGGGUCCCUCCAUGUGUACUCCUUGGUUGGUGGUUUACUCCCUGGGAGCACUGGGUAGGGAGGUGUGGUUGGUAGUUAUUAUUGUUCUUUCUAUGGGCUUGCAAACCCCUUCAGCUACUUCAGUCCUUUCUCUAACUCCUCCAGUAGAGACCCCAUUGGGGACCGCAUGCUCAUUCCAUCUGUUGGCUGCGGGCAUCUACCUUUGUAUUUAUCAGGCUCAGGCAGAGCCUCUCAGGAGACAACUAUAUCAGGCUCUUUUAAGCAUGCACUUCUUGGCAUCCACAACAGUGUCUGGUUUGGUGAUUGUAUAUGGGAUGGAUUCCCAGGUGGGGCAGUCUCUGGAUGGUCUUUCCUUCAGUCUCUGCUCCACACUUUGUCUCUGUAUUUGCUCCCAUGAGUAUUUUGUUCCCCUUUCUAACAAGGACUAAAGCACCCAUAUUUUGGUCUUCCUUCUUCUUGAGCUUCAUGUGGUAUGUGAAUUGUAUCUUGGGUAUUCCCAGCUUUUGGGCUAAGAUCCACUUAUCAGCAAGUGCAUACCAUGUGUGUUCUUUUGUGAUUGAGUUACCUCACUCAGGAUGAUAUUUUCUAGUUCCAUACAUUUGCCUAAGAAUUACAUGAAAUCGUUGUUUUUAAUAGCUGAGUAGUACUCCAUUGUGUAAAUGUACCACAUUUUCUGUAUCCAUUCCUCUGUUGAGGGACAUAUGACUUCUUUCCAGAUUCUGGCUAUUAUACAUAAGGUUCCUAUAAACAUAGUGGAGCAUGUGUCCUUAUUAUAUGUUAGAGCAUCUUCUGGGUAUAUGCCCAGGAGUAGUAUAGCUGUGUCCUCAGGUAGUACUAUGUCCAAUAUUCAGAGAUCAAGAAUCAGAAAAUGGGACCUCAUAAAAUUGCAAAGCUUCUGUAAGGCAAAGGACACUGUCAAUGGGACAAAAAGGCAACCAACAGAUUGGGAGAAGAUCUUUACCAAUCCUACACCUAAUAGAGGAAAAAUAUCCAAUAUAUACAAAGAACUCAAAAAAAUCAAAUAACCCUAAUGAAAAAUGGAGUACAGAUCUAAACAAAGAAUUCUCUACUGAGGUAUAUCAAAUGGCCAAGAAGCACCUACAGAAAUGUUCAACAUCCUUAGUCAUCAGGGAAAUGCAAAUCAAAGCAGCCCUGAGAUUCCACUUCAUACCAGUCAGAAUGAUUAAGAUAAAAAACUCAGGAGACAAUAGAUGCUGGCAAGGAUGUGGACAAAGAAGAAUACUCCUCCACUGUUGGUGGGAUUGCAAGCUGCUAUAACCACUCUGGAAAUC
rnacentral:lncRNA from 1 species